GCCUUCGUGGUGUAAUGGUCAGCACACUGAGCCGUAUUUCAGAGGUCCGAGGUUCGAUCCCCGGCGAAGACA
rfam:Stegodyphus mimosarum contig5569, whole genome shotgun sequence.